rnacentral:tRNA from 1 species
GGUAAGAUGGCCGAGUGGUUAAGGCGGCUGGCUUAAGUGUUCACAUUUUGAUCCCAGCUGACGAGAGUCUCCUGGGUUCGAACCCCAGUCUUACCA